AGAUUGAACGCUGGCGGCGUGCUUAACACAUGCAAGUCGAGCGGUAACGCGGGAGCAAUCCUGGCGACGAGCGGCGAACGGGUGAGUAAUGCUUCGGAAUCUACCCACGGGUGGGGAAUAACCAAUCGAAAGGUUGGCUAAUACCGCAUACGUCCUACGGGGGAAAGCGGGGGAUCGUAAGACCUCGCGCCGGUGGAUGAGCCGAAGUCGGAUUAGCUAGUUGGUAGGGUAACGGCCUACCAAGGCGACGAUCCGUAGCUGGUCUGAGAGGACGACCAGCCACACUGGGACUGAGACACGGCCCAGACUCCUACGGGCGGCAGC
rnacentral:rRNA from 1 species